AUGAAGGAUUCCCGUAUGGGCUCUAAAAGGGAUUUUGAUAUGUUUCCUCAGAAUUAUAUUUUAAGUCCAAAAAUGUUUAAAUCCAACCAAAUUGUUAUCAGUACAAAAAACCCUAAGUUACACACACACAUAUAUAUAUAUAUAUAUAUAUAUAUAUAUAUAAAAGCAUUGAUUGAAAGCUACAGAGGGAGGGGGAUUCAUCGACUGACAAAUUUCAGAAUAAACUCAGAAAAUGAAAAUAGAACCUCUCCUCUGAAUCCUCACCGGAGCAAAUGGUUAGAAUCCUUUCGCCGGAACUCUACCCUAAUCGUCUGA